rnacentral:lncRNA from 1 species
GCUUCCAAGCCUUGUAGUCCAAACCACUGUCUCCUGCGUGAGAUACGUUUCGACCCGGAGCUCUGCCAUUAAACUGCCUCAUGUUUUUACAUCAAGAUGGUCUGUUUGUUCGUGAUCCUUGGGAGCAUGCCGAAUCGGGAAUUGAGUGGGGGUUUCCCCACUAGAUUCUUUCAUUUGGAGUCCCCAGUGAGAUCUGUGUGACACCCAGGAACCCCGAAAGACCCCUUGGAGGUACGUUUGUUUGUGUGCAUCUUACAUGUUGUCUGUUGUCUAAGUGUGGCACCGCUGAAUUUGUGUCUUAGUUUUUCAGUUCUGAGAUUGUGGGUUCGAGUCCCACCUCGUGUCUUGGUUUUACAGUUCUGAGAUCGUGGGUUCGUGUCUGUUGUCUAAGUGUGGCUAGUUGUCUAAGUGAAUUUGUGUCUUAGUUUUUCAGUUCUGAGAUCAAUCGUGGGUUCGAGACCCACCUUGUGCCUUGGUUUUACGGUUCUGAGAUUGUGGGUUCGAGUCCCACCUCGUGUCUUGGUUUUACGGUUCUGAGAUUGUGGGUUCGAGUCCCACCUUGUGCCUUGGUUUUACGGUUCUGAGAUUGUGGGUUCAAGUCCCACCUCGUGUCUUGGUUUUACAGUUCUGAGAUUGUGGGUUUGAGUCCCACCUCGUGCCUUGGUUUUACGGUUCUGAGAUUGUGGGUUCAAGUCCCACCUCGUGUCUUGGUUUUACGGUUCUGAGAUUGUGGGUUCGAGUCCCACCUUGUGUCUUGGUUUUAUGGUUCUGAGAUUGUGGGUUCGAGUCCCACCUCGUGUCUUGGUUUUACGGUUCUGAGAUUGUGGGUUCAAGUCCCACCUCGUGUCUUGGUUUUACGGUUCUGAGAUUGUGGGUUCGAGUCCCACCUCGUGCCUUGGUUUUACGGUUCUGAGAUUGUGGGUUCAAGUCCCACCUCGUGUCUUGGUUUUACAGUUCUGAGAUUGUGGGUUCGAGUCCCACCUCAUGUCUUGGUUUUACAGUUCUGAGAUUGUGGGUUCAAGGAACGAGUGUGCUUAGAUACUGGUGGGGUUUUUUUCCUUCUGUUACUGCUUGUUCUGUUGUGGUUUUCGUCAUGGGACAGACUGUGUGUGUGUCAACCCUUUGUUUCUGACUGUGGACUCGGACUGACGUUAGGACAGAAUUUGUCAGUGAUAGUUAAGAAAAACAACUCGGCAUGUGUCCCUGGCCGCUUGAAGGAGCUCCGUGAUGCAGCCGCAGUGAUGGACUGGGAACUUCCCGCUUUGGUGGAGCAGUGCUAGGGCUCUUGACUAGAGCUGGUGUGAAACAGCUCACAAACCUUCCAGUCGCCUGCUGCUCACUUCUGGGUUCUGCAGGUGCCCCACCACCAUGCAUUUCGCCGCCUGCAGGACAGG